GACGAACGCUGGCGGCGUGCUUAACACAUGCAAGUCGAACGGAAAGGCCCUGCUUUUGUGGGGUUCUCGAUUGGCGAACGGGUGAGUAACACGUGAGUAACCUCCCCUUGACUUUGUGAUAACUUCAGGAAACUGGGGCUAAUACCGGAUAUGAGCUCCUGCUGCAUGGUGGUGGUUGGAAAGUUUCGGCGGUUGGGGAUGGACUCGCUGCUUAUCAGCUGGUUGGUGGGGUAGUUGCUGACCAGGGCUGUGACGGGUAGCCGGCCUGAGAGGGUGAACGGCCACAAUGGGACUGAGAGACGGAGCAGAAUCCUACGGGAGGCAGUAGUGGGGAGUAUUGCACAAUGGGCGGACGCCUGAUGCAGCAACGUCGCGUGCGGGAUGCCGGGCUUCGGGUUGUAAACAGAUUUGGCAUGUGCCGAAGAGUGCGUGACGGUAAUGGGUAAAGAAGCAACGGCUAACUACGUG
rnacentral:rRNA from 1 species